rnacentral:rRNA from 1 species
CCUACGGGAGGCUGCAGUGGGGAAUAUUGGGCAAUGGGCGCAAGCCUGACCCAGCAACGCCGCGUGAAGGAAGAAGGCUUUCGGGUUGUAAACUUCUUUUCUCAGGGACGAAGCAAGUGACGGUACCUGAGGAAUAAGCCACGGCUAACUACGUGCCAGCAGCCGCGGUAAUACGGAGGGGGCAAGCGUGAUCCGGAGUUACUGGGGGUAAAGGGCGUGUAGGCGGGGACGCAAGUCAGAUGUGAAAACCAUGGGCUCAACCUGUGGCCUGCAUUUGAAACUGUGUUUCUUGAGGACUGGAGAGGCAGACGGAAUUCCUGGUGUAGCGGUGAAAUGCGUAGAUAUUAGGAGGAACACCGGUGGCGAAGGCAGUCUGCUGGACAGCAACUGACGCUGAGGCGCGAAAGCGUGGGGAGCAAACAGGAUUAGAUACCCUUGUAGUC